CAAAAGCACCCAACUGGGUGUAGGGCCUAUUCCCUACUUUUCAGUUUCACUGUGUAGCUUCUGGCGGUAACCUCCUCAAGUUCUGCAGCUGAUGUGGUCUUACAGAAAUAACACUUAUGGUGCAGUUGCCUGUGAAGACCUAGACUGGCUAUGGCUCAGCUUCAUAACCUUGGCUCAGACCUCUGAGAAAACUGCUAAGUGGAGAGGAAGUCUGCACAGUAGAAGUACACAAGAUAAGAAAGAUGAAACUGCAGACACAGUAGGAUUGUUGGGACUAGAUCAUUAGUAGCUCAUCAUUUCAAGAGGAAGAACAUCAGCAUGAAAUG